CGAUGGAUCUUAGGCGGUGGGUCAGGGGUCCAUUAUCUCCGUAAAUCCUCUACAUGACGGGCUAACAUCUGCGGAUGAGGCGUCAAAGGCCGUUUGAGCUUCUCUUUCCGAAACGUUGAGUAUCCGUCCUUUGGGGCUGGCGGUCAAUGGGUAGCUUCCGUAGGGGAGCUAUUUCAUGGUUCACCAGGCGAAUCCGGCUAGGCUCGGGAGAGAGCAACCUAAGUUUGGACGUUACGCGCUCAAGGGGUCACGGGUAUGAGUGUAGGACCUGAAGUCUCAAGCGGAGUCUAGACGACAAACCGCAGCGAUUCAUCG
rnacentral:SRP_RNA from 1 species